rnacentral:rRNA from 1 species
CAAUAGCCGCGGUAAAACGUAGGUGGCAAGCGUUGUCCGGAAUUAUUGGGCGUAAAGGGCUCGCAGGCGGUUUCUUAAGUCUGAUGUGAAAGCCCCCGGCUCAACCGGGGAGGGUCAUUGGAAACUGGAAAACUUGAGUGCAGAAGAGGAAAGUGGAAUUCCAUGUGUAGCGGUGAAAUGCGCAGAGAUAUGGAGGAACACCAGUGGCGAAGGCGACUUUCUGGUCUGUAACUGACGCUGAUGUGCGAAAGCGUGGGGAUCAAACAGGAUUAGAUACCCCAGUAGUCCCUGUCUCUUAUAA